GAGAAAUAAAGCUGAAGCUUGCUAUAGUUGCUAGACUAGCGGUACUGUAGAUUACUAACACUUUCAUAUUUUUUAGUCCUUCAUUUUGUGCUCUGAUAAAAUUUCUUUUCUCAUAGUCUCAGCUGUUUGUUUUGAUUGUUAUAAUUGAGCCCUUAACCCAUGUUUGGAUAUAGGGAAAGUGGUAGGGAAGGAAAAUAAGUUGUGGAA
rnacentral:misc_RNA from 1 species